rnacentral:rRNA from 1 species
CCUACGGGAGGCAGCAGUGGGGAAUCUUGGACAAUGGGGGCAACCCUGAUCCAGCCAUGCCGCGUGAGUGAAGAAGGCCCUAGGGUCGUAAAACUCUUUCGCCUGUGAUGAUAAUGACAGUAGCAGGUAAAGAAACCCCGGCUAACUCCGUGCCAGCAGCCGCGGUAAUACGGAGGGGGUUAGCGUUGUUCGGAAUUACUGGGCGUAAAGCGCACGUAGGCGGAUUAGAAAGUUAGAGGUGAAAUCCCGGGGCUCAACCCCGGAACUGCCUUUAAAACUACUAGUCUAGAGUUCGAGAGAGGUGAGUGGAAUUCCGAGUGUAGAGGUGAAAUUCGUAGAUAUUCGGAGGAACACCAGUGGCGAAGGCGGCUCACUGGCUCGAUACUGACGCUGAGGUGCGAAAGUGUGGGGAGCAAACAGGAUUAGAUACCCUGGUAGUCCACACCGUAAACGAUGAAUGCCAGUCGUCGGGUAGUAUACUAUUCGGUGACACACCUAACGGAUUAAGCAUUCCGCCUGGGGAGUACGGUCGCAAGAUUAAAACUCAAAGGAAUUGACGG